CACGUAGGGUGCGAGCGUUAAUCGGAAUUACUGGGCGUAAAGCGUGCGCAGGCGGCGCGUUAAGACAGGUGUGAAAGCCCCGAGCUUAACUUGGGAAUUGCGCUUGUGACUGGCGUGCUGGAGUGUGGCAGAGGGAGGUGGAAUUCCACGUGUAGCAGUGAAAUGCGUAGAGAUGUGGAGGAACACCGAUGGCGAAGGCAGCCUCCUGGGCCAGCACUGACGCUGAGGAGCGAAAGCGUGGGGAGCAAACAGG
rnacentral:rRNA from 1 species